UCCCAGCAACCCCAUCCUCGUUUCUCCCCUCUCUUGCUUCUCCUCCAGCUUGAGUCGAGCCGAGCAGGAGCAGCGCAGGCCGCCGCCCGUUCGUCGAUUCCGACCAGCUCGACCCACCGUUCCUCGAUUCCUCGCGCCCAAGCCUUUCCCUCCUCCUCCUCCACCUCUGCCACGCCUCCCCGAGCCCGGCCGCGCCCUACCCCAGCCGGAAUCGACACCUCGUACCACCAGCAUCCAUUAAAGUUUCGUCGAAACUCAGGCCGCCGUCGAACUCCACCUCCCAGCCACCGUUUCCACCAACCAACGGCUGAAAUCGACUCCCCUCGACUCCUUAAAGCUCAUGCUCUCCUCGUUCUUGCGCGUUCCCGUUGUUUCCGCGCUCGUUCUCCAGCCAUGUCAUCGCCGACAUGCUGCUGCUCGCCGCGAGCCGCGCGCACGCGCCCCUGCGCCGCACCGCCGAGCACCCCCAGUCCGCCCGGCCCUGUCGAACCCUCCCGUGGCUGCCCCAUCACCAACCUACCUCGCCGCAGGCGAGGGCACCGCCGCCAUCGCCGCUCGUGCUGCUGCACCGCCGACGCCCCUCCUCCAACUAUCCCCGGCUCCAACUCUUACUUCGAUCCGGCCCUAGGUAUGAUAGAUGAACCAUGUAAAGGACGUGCUGUUGGAGCCGAAGUCGAACACGAUGUUUGGUGGACAUAUCCAGAAGAUGGAUGGAUGGAUCCCGACAUGCAUGACCGAAGGCAGAUGCUCGCCAAGCGAGUAUCAUCUAGCUAACACUGACUUAGUGUUAAUCCCAGACAAGCCCCAGAGCAUAACCCUAAUUUAAGUAUUCAAUGUUUAUUUAAGUAAUUGUGUAUUUACGUUCUAGGAGUUGUAUGACACCCUAGUAUGCAUAUUCUCCCUAGGUACCUAUAAGUCCAUACUAGUAUAGAUGUCGUUAGAAAUGCUUUGCUAAGUAGGAUCUCGGUAGAAGUUGAGUGAUUCCUGUCACUCGCGAGAUUUAAGAUCCGGUUACUUAUGACAAAGUGGUUUGAGAA